CAACUGCUUGUAACUCCAACUCCAGAAGAUCUGAUGCCCUCUACUGGCCUCUGAAGAUCUUCUGCGAUUUGAUUUCUACCACCCAAGUCUUACAGUCUUGAAUACAUCACUCCUUCACCCUUGUGUCAGAAAUAAUGUUCCCACUUUCUGUGAAUCAGGCUGAUAGGAGCAGGCACUGUCCUCAGUCAGGAAUGAGGUGUGCCUCCAUCUUGGCUCAGCAUCCCAGAAGAAAAAGGACAGUGUCUGACCAGUGGCCCAGGCCGAAGGACCAUGCCCACCCUGUGAAUGUGCAAAUACUCCAAGCCUCCCUCUGUCUCCAGACCCCACAGGUUGGACUCAGUAUCUCCAUGUCACUAAUGGAAAACUUCUGCCCAAAGACAUUAGGGCACCUCAGCCACCUGGGAGCAGGUGCCCACCCUGAGGCCAGCACAUGACAACCGGGCAGGACCUGUCUAUACUUUCAGCCGCACCCCAGCACUGUGCAGCGGCCUGCUGUGUUACAGCUGACCUUCAGCGAGCAGGGUCUGGGAAGAGCCGGGGUCAAUGUCACCUGCUGGCUUUGCCGCAGCGCUCGGCAGCACCAGAGACAACACAAAAGCUCAGUCAGGACUCUGCGCAAGACAGAACGGCAAGUCUGAACUAGUCUAGUCGGAAAGGAAAGACCUGAGGCUUCACCCUGCCUGGAGGCCAGCCCCUGUCCAGACACCUGGUGUCUUUCCAUACCCAGCUCUCGGGCAUUUUCUGAGGUCCCUGGGUGGUAAGCAUGUGCGGCAACCUGCCAUCAGCGUGAACUCAGAAGAUUCAGAAUUGCUUCUGCCCGCCUAUCCUGUUUACCUCACUUCUAGAGCCUUCUACAAACUUUGGGGGGAGGCAGGUUUCCCCGUUCUCUAUAUCAAGGAUAUACAGAUAUAUCCUGGGUCAUACAUGAACUACUUACACCCCCAAGCUUCUGGGAAACUCAAACCUUGGCGCACCAUGGAGAGAUGGCAGGUAUGGACCAUUCAGAGAAGAGCAGCUGCCCUUCAGAGGCAGGGCCUCGGCCACAGGGCCUGGAUCUCAGCUGUGGGACUGGACUUUGGGAUUUGUUUAUUUUUAUUUCAUGUGUAUGGGUGUUUUACCUGCAUGCACAUCUGUGCAUCACAUGCGUACGGUGCCUGUGGAGGCCAGUAGAGGAUAUUGGAUCCCCUGGAACUGGAGGUACAGAUGGUGUGAGCCUCCAUGUGGUGCUGGAAGUUGUACAUUGAGGCCAGUGCCCUUAACCACUGAGCCAUCUCUCCAGCCCCAGGGGACUAGAUUUAGGAAACUUGCAGUUCUGACCUGUCAAGGUGACAAUGAUCUACAGUGGCUUGGGGACCCUAUAGGACCCUCCCACUCCUGGCACACUGCCCCCCCCCAUCAUUCUUCCAACACAGCAUCGUGCCCUGCCUCAGGCCUUUGUACCCACCGCCUCCACCCUAUCUCCACUCCACCUCACCCCAUCACUGUUUCUUAAGUCUCUUCAAGGCUUUGUCUCUCAAAGACAUCCUCAGAUGUCACCUCAAGGAGGCUAACCGUGCUCUCCCACUCAGGGUUAAUCUCUUCUUAAUAACAGAAGAAGGCGGGGGUAUGGCUCCAUAGAGAACGCUUGCCUAGCACGCAUGAGGCCCCAGCUCCGCAAGGAAACAAACAUCCUAAGAUACCAUUCGGUCUUUCGUCUUAGCCACGCCUUAUUGCGGUGGUUCCCACGACCCCUCUGGAGUUACAUAUCGGAUACCCUGCCUAUCAGAUAUUUACAUUACAAUUCAUAACGGUAGCAAAAAUCACAGUUAUGAAGCAGCGAAAUUAUUAUGAAAAUAAUUUUAUGUUUGGUGGGGGUCACCACAAGAUGAGGAACUAUAUUAAAGAGUCACAGCAUUAGGAAAGUUG